rnacentral:rRNA from 1 species
GGAAGGAGCGGGCGGGGGCACGGGGCAAGAGGGAGGGUGCGAGGGGUAAUCGGGAAGAGUGGGCGGAAAGCGGUCGGAGGCGGGUUGGUAAGACAGGCGUGAAAUCCCCGGGCGUAACCGGGGGACUGCGCUUGUGACGGCGAGGCUAGAGGACGGCAGAGGGGGGUGGAAUUCCACGUGUAGCAGUGAAAUGCGUAGAGAUGUGGAGGAACACCAAUGGCGAAGGCAGCACCCUGGGUCGAUACUGACGCUCAUGCACGAAAGCGUGGGUAGCAAACAGGAUUAGAUACCCGUGUAGUC